rnacentral:tRNA from 1 species
CGUGCCGUCGAGCAGUUCCAGGAACAGCAGCCGUUUGCCGGACGGCUGCGGGCGGAUGGUGAACUCGCGCACCCCGUUCAGCCCGACGACGGUGCGGCC